rnacentral:rRNA from 1 species
UACAGAGGUCUCAAGCGUUGUUCGGAUUCAUUGGGCGUAAAGGGUGCGUAGGUGGCGCCGUAAGUCAGGUGUGAAAUUUCGGAGCUUAACUCCGAAACUGCAUUUGAUACUGCGGUGCUUGAGGACUGGAGAGGAGACUGGAAUUCACGGUGUAGCAGUGAAAUGCGUAGAGAUCAUGAGGAAGACCAGUGGCGAAGGCGGGUCUCUGGACAGUUCCUGACACUGAGGCACGAAGGCUAGGGGAGCGAACGGG